rnacentral:lncRNA from 1 species
UCCCUACAUGCCUUGAUCAAAGCUUGAAUGAUUAGAGGCUGCCUCCUUUUACUCUUACCAAUAGCUUCAGAAUUAUAGAAGGUAGUUAAUUUUAAUUGCACCCCAUAUCUUGUGAAAAAAUCAUAUGCCUCUAUUGCAUCAAGCUCACCUUGUUCUGCUUUCAUUCUUCCAAUGCUUCCAUAGCAACAUAUAAUAUCCUCAAAAAUAAAUUAACAUACUAAUUCUAUAGACUUUGACCUCAAUGCCUUCUCUUCUAUAUAAUUAGUGAGUUCUUUUUUACCAAAAUUAUACACUUUAUUCUCUAAAAUCCUAUUGGGAUGGUAAUUAAAUCAAUCACCCAUUGAAAAUAAAUAGAAAUUGGAUAGAUAUGGCAUAAACCAUUUCUAUACCUCACUUUGAAUUACAAUUGAUAUUUAUUAUAAGAAUUCAUAAAUUCUUUUAUAUUCUUCUAUAAUUCCUUCUACUAAUAGUGAUUUUUAAUCUAAGUAUAGGUAGUCCAAACUCUUUUAUGCUUAGCCUACA